rfam:Hordeum vulgare subsp. vulgare, WGS project CAJW01000000 data, contig: morex_contig_55613
GACAUACUCCCUCCGUCUUAAAAUUCUUGUCUUUGAUUUGUUUAGAUACGAACGUAUCUAGUUAUGUAUUAGUAUUUAGAUACAUUCAAUUUUAAACAAACUUAAGACAAGAAUUUGAGACUGAGGGAGUACUAG